UACAGAGGGUGCGAGCGUUAAUCGGAAUUACUGGGCGUAAAGCGUGCGUAGACGGCUAUCUAAGUCGGGUGUGAAAUCCCCGGGCUCAACCUGGGAACUGCAUCCGAAACUGCCUUGCUAGAGUAUGGGAGAGGGAAGUGGAAUUUCCGGUGUAGCGGUGAAAUGCGUAGAUAUCGGAAGGAACAUCAGUGGCGAAGGCGACUUCCUGGACCAAUACUGACGCUCAGGUGCGAAAGCGUGGGGAGCAAACAGG
rnacentral:rRNA from 1 species